ACCUAAGUAGCUCAGUGGAUAGAGCGUACUUCUAACUAAAGAUAAGGUCGUGGGUUCGAUUCCCACCUUAGGUG
rnacentral:tRNA from 1 species